UCUUACAUGGUCUAGUGGUUCGGAUUCCUGGCUUUCACCCAGGCGGCCCGGGUUUAAUUCCCGGUAAAGGAA
rfam:Ciona savignyi cont_22296, whole genome shotgun sequence.